rnacentral:lncRNA from 1 species
AGGAAAGCAGGUUGUGACACAGGGAUAUAAAAGAGUCAGACUGAACAGACAGUCCUGAGUCAUCCAGCCCAGUCCUCUGACAUCAGCGGCAAACAAGUCAGGUAUAUUCUAUUUCUAUGUCAACUGAUGAUAAAAGAGUGGCAGUACAGAGAACCAUUUAACUACAGCAACAUAACACAUCAGCAA